rnacentral:rRNA from 1 species
GAUGAACGCUAGCUAUAGGCUUAACACAUGCAAGUCGAGGGGAAACGGCAGAGAGUGCUUGCACCCUUUGGACGUCGACCGGCGCACGGGUGAGUAACGCGUAUCCAACCUGCCCUUUACUUGGGGAUAACCCGUUGAAAGACGGACUAAUACCCAAUGAUAUUCAUUGAUGACAUCUGAUUUGAAUUAAAGAUUUAUCGGUAUAGGAUGGGGAUGCGUCUGAUUAGCUUGUUGGUGAGGUAACGGCUCACCAAGGCAACGAUCAGUAGGGGUUCUGAGAGGAAGGUCCCCCACAUUGGAACUGAGACACGGUCCAAACUCCUACGGGAGGCAGCAGUGAGGAAUAUUGGUCAAUGGACGAGAGUCUGAACCAGCCAAGUAGCGUGCAGGAUGACGGCCCUAUGGGUUGUAAACUGCUUUUGUUUGGGAAUAAUCGACAUUACGUGUAAUGUUUUGCAUGUACCAUUCGAAUAAGGACCGGCUAAUUCCGUGCCAGCAGCCGCGGUAAUACGGAAGGUCCAGGCGUUAUCCGGAUUUAUUGGGUUUAAAGGGAGUGUAGGCGGUUGGUUAAGCGUGUUGUGAAAUGUAGAUGCUCAACAUCUGACUUGCAGCGCGAACUGGCUGACUUGAGUACACACAACGUAGGCGGAAUUCAUGGUGUAGCGGUGAAAUGCUUAGAUAUCAUGAAGAACUCCGAUUGCGAAGGCAGCUUACGGGAGUGUUACUGACGCUUAAGCUCGAAGGUGCGGGUAUCGAACAGG